GCUGCCGCCCCGGUCCUGCUCACAUUAACGUACAGAAGAAGAUUCAUCGUAUUUCUUCGACCGAUACACAUCGACUCGAAACAAGAGAGAGAGAGAGAGAGAGAUGGUGAGUUCACCUGGAACGACUGCACCUUUCUGAAGGAGUGCUCGAGCUUCGGUGGAAGGGAGGAAGAGAACAGCAAAGGAGAUCAAAAGAGCACAAGCAAGAAGACAGGCCUUCCUCAUUUUUAUUUUUUUUCAAUAGCUGGAGAGGUAUUAGGUAGUUCGAUCGGAAGA